rnacentral:rRNA from 1 species
CGAGUUUAUCACCUUAGCCGGAAGGCUUGGGUAAUCUUGUGAAACUCGGUCGUGAUGGGGAUAGAGCAUUGCAAUUAUUGCUCUUCAACGAGGAAUACCUAGUAAGCGUGAGUCAUCAGCUCGCGUUGAAUACGUCCCUGCCCUUUGUACACACCGCCCGUCGCUACUACCGAUUGAAUGGCUUAGUGAGGUCUCCGGAUUGGCUUCUGGGAGCCGGCAACGGCACCUAGUCGCUGAGAAGUUGAACGAACUUGGUCAUUUAGAGGAAGUAAAAGUCGUAACAAGGUUUCCGUAGGUGAACCUGCGGAAGGAUCAUUAAUGAAUUUUUAGGGCGCUCUUUUUAGAGGUCCGACCAAUUUCAUUUCCACACACCGUGAACACACUUCAUUUUUUACACACAAUUUAUUAACACACAAGUCUAUAAGAAUGUAUACAGUCUCUUAAUUGAGCAUAAAGUUAUAAUACAACUUUCGGCAACGGAUCUCUUGGCUCUCGCAUCGAUGAAGAACGCAGCGAAAUGCGAUACGUAAUGUGAAUUGCAGAAUUCAGUGAAUCAUCGAAUCUUUGAACGCACCUUGCACUCUUUGGUAUUCCAAAAAAAUGUCUGUUUGAGUGUCAUGAAACUCUCACCCCCCUGUUUUGUAUGAACAAGCGUGGGCUUGGAUUAUGGCUGUCUGCUGGACUCUUUAAAUAAAAACCGGCUCGGCUGAAAUACACAAAUAACCCAGUUUGAAUAUUAACGGCUUGACUCCGCGUAAUAACCUUUAUUUUCCUUAAGGAGGUUUCCUAUCAAAAAAAAAGGGGGCCUUCUAAAUGG